GAUGAACGCUGGCGGCGUGCUUAACACAUGCAAGUCGAACGAAGCAUUUAAGACAGAUUACUUCGGUUUGAAGUCUUUUAUGACUGAGUGGCGGACGGUUGAGUAACGCGUGGGUAACCUGCCUCAUACAGGGGGAUAGCAGCUGGAAACGGCUGGUAAUACCGCAUAAGCGCACAGUACCACAUGGUACAGUGUGAAAAACUCCGGUUGUAUGAGAUGGACCCGCGUCUGAUUAGCUUGUUGGCGGGGUAACGGCCCACCAAGGCGACGAUCAGUAGCCGACCUGAGAGGGUGACCGGCCACAUUGGGACUGAGACACGGCCCAGACUCCUACGGGAGGCAGCAGUGGGGAAUAUUGCACAAUGGAGGAAACUCUGAUGCAGCGACGCCGCGUGAGUGAAGAAGUAGUUCGCUAUGUAAAGCUCUAUCAGCAGGGAAGAUAGUGACGGUACCUGACUAAGAAGCUCCGGCUAAAUACGUG
rnacentral:rRNA from 1 species